rnacentral:lncRNA from 1 species
GAGGGAAAAAUCCUUGAGAAAACAGGAUGGGGCGUUGAUUUUGCCUGGACAAGAGUCCGGCUCGCCCACGCCCAAGCAAGAAGAAGGGGGAGGUGACUGACGGGUGGGGUCGGAAUGUCAACGAGGGAGAGGAGGGACUGACACGCGGUUGACUCGGCCAUCGGGCCGAGAUGCUAGGCCAUGUGGCCAAGGGAGAAGGAAGGGGCGCGCACCAGGCCGAGUGAGAGAGAAGGAGCUGGGGAGCGUAGAAGGGGAAGAGCUGGGUUCUUGCGGGGGGGGGGGGAGAAAAAGAGGGAGAGGAAGGAGUUGGGCCUUCGGGCCAGAAAGAUGGAGGAGAUGUUUUUUCUUUUUAUUUCUAUUUUCCUUUAUUUUAUUCCAAAGCCAUUUUCAAAACCAUUUUAAAAAUCACUUGAAUUAUUUUUGAACUUUAGUAAAACCACUCAGCACAAUAAAUAAAAUGCAGAAGCAUGAGUGCACAAAAAUGUUGCUAGGUCCCAUGAUGAAUUUUAAUUUAAAUGAAAAAUAUUAUUUCUCUAUAUUUCAUGAGCACAAACAUACAAAAUUAAAUCAUUUUCACCUAUUUCAAAAAGGAGUAAAUUUUAGGGUGUUAUAGCGCUGCUUAUCUAGCUCCUUGUCCAAGUCUGCCGUCGUCUUGUGGCAUUUUCGUGGAGUCUCAGCUGCGGCCAUGGUGGACUUUGGGGCUUCCUUUGGGGGAUGAAUUUGACCUUCAUCGGAUGAGCGUGAACCCUGUUGACACUUCUUAACGCAACCACCGGAUAUCGGCGACGGCGCCAGAAGUGUCCUGGUAGGGUAACUCUAUUUACUAUUGGAUAAUUCCGCAAGCGCACAGAAUGUACCGCUGUAGCACUUCACCAAGGAGUAUUCCAAGGUAUCGUAAUUUAUAUUUUCCCAAGGGAAAGCGGC